CGAAUAAAAAAUUUAUUGAUACCUAAUAUAUCGACAUAUGAAAAUAUUUUUUUAUUUUUUAUGGAAUAAAUUAAAAUAUAAUUAUUUCAGACGAUUUUCUAUCUAAGGUAUUAUUGAAUAUUGUUUCAUAAAUAAUUAACUCAGUUAAUAAGUUUUUUGUUUUAAAUAAAAAUAAUUAAAAUGUCAAGAAAGUCGAGAAAGAAAAAGUCUGAUUCAAAUGUAGCUGUAAUUACACUAAGUGAUGACGAAGAAAUUAGUAUCAUUGGAAAAGGUUAAAUUUUAUAUAUUGAUUAUUAAUGAUAUUAAAAAUAGCUGAGUACUUCUCGGUCUAGACGUCGUACUGUUUAUAAUAUAAUGUUUAUAGAUAUUAGUUAUGCAAAAUAUUAAAAACCACUUUCUAGCAUCGGAGGAAAAAUAGUAUCUGAUCCAUCAACUGCAAGUAUUUUAGUUGUAGAUAAAAUCUGUACAAAAAUAAACAUCAUCUGUGGAAUAGCACGAGGUAUUCCCAUCGUUUCUAUCCUGUGGAUAGAAUGAAGUAUUAAUAAAAAAAAAAAUUGAUAAUCCAUUGCCAUACAUUAUUAAAGACCAAGCUUUUGAAGAAAAAUAUAAAUUUAAUUUACAUGACAGCUUAAUAAAAGCUGCGACCGAGCCCAUAUUUAAUGAUUACACUUUUAUCAUUACACGCAACGUUAAGCCGAAAUUAAUUGAUUUAACAAAAUUAAUUGAAGCAGCUGGUGGAUCAUCAUUAAUAAACGCGCCAAAAAUUUGGAAGAAAAAUACAUUUAUUGUAAGUUGCGAUGAUGACUUGAGAGCAGCUCGACAAAAAAAAAGUAAACUCGCCUAAAAACGCAACUAUUCCAAUAGUAACUACAAAUUUUAUAAUUGGUUCUAUUUUAAGACAAAAAAUUGUUAUAAAAAAUUAUCUGCUUGAACGUUAAUAUUUUAUUGUUUCGUUGUAUUUUUUUUUUUUUACAAAAUCAAUCAGACCAGAGUUUAACUUGAAAUUAACAAUUGUUUGAUAUUUCAAUUAAGACAAUGAGAAGGUUCAAUUUUUUAUACAACAAUAACUUUAAUUAACAAAAGAUGAAGUAAAUAUUUAUGGAAAGUAGAAAAAAAUUAUAUCUUUUUACCAACAGCACUCAUUAAUUCAAACAUUAGUUCAGGUUUGUGAUAAAAUAAUUUUUCAAAUUUACUGAGCGCGAAAAUUUUUUCACUGUCAUUAACCAUAAAUUUAAUUGCCUCUUUACGUAAUUUUUCAAUACUAUGAUCAUCAGCCACAUCGAUAAUGUCUACGAUAUUAUCAAUGGACAUAUUUUUCAACAGAGUCAUCUCGCAGAUGUUCUUGAGCCUCAUGAUUUGAUAAAUAUCUGCCACUUCGAUCAUCUGCAGUGCAAGCUCCGUAUCAAAACUCGCUUUAGUCUCUCCCUUGUAAAAAUAAUUUAGCAUCUCAACUACAACAUCCGCCUCUAGAUCUUUUAUUUCAAUCACUCCUUUUUUAGCCUCUUCCAUAUCAGAUGACAGCAUUGCUUUGAAAACAGGACUGUGAGCAGCGAUAAUGACUUUGUGAGCCGGUAUCUCGACGUCACCAACAAUAAGAGUCACAUCACUGAGAUCGUUGGACUUUCGAAAUAGCAGAAGAUUCUCAUAGAAAAAAUCAGGCACAAAGUCUGGUUUAUAGUCGUGCAGAAUUAUUUUGCAAUUAAUGGUGACGUCAUAGACAUAAUAAUUAGCUCCGCGACUUGAAUCGAGGACUUGUCGAGAUACAAGUUGAGAUGGAAAUGCUAAGAAGUCUUCGAACACGCAGUUUUCUUUCCACUCAUCCAUCUGGCUCUUCUUUUCACAUUUGUCUUUCACUGACAAGCAAACAGUAGCUUUCAAUGUCUUCGCAGUAGAUUUUAUUACCCAGGUUUCAAGAUGAGUCUUUUUCUCAUUAAGUUUCAUAGCCAUAGUAAAUACAAUGUCUUCAAUAUGUUUUAUUUUAAAUUGAUUUGAAUACAAACAGUCAAUUCCGUAAGGUACAACUGCUUUCCAUUCAUGGCUGACAUUCCACUCUUCGGGUUUGAUAUCCAUUUUUUUAUCUUUAAAAUUAGUAUAUUAUAAUCAGUUAUAAUUAAACAGCCAAACUGCGACCGAUUACAGUAAAAUUAUUCAUAUAAAAAUAAUAUUUGAAUGAAAUUUCUUUUUUAAAAAAGUUAUUGGCUGAGGGUGAUCCAAAUAACCUAAGUUACAAAAAAUGUUACUUUUGAUGCUGGAUAAAGUUACUUUGGAAAACUUAAGCUACUCAAGAAGACUAUAAUAAUAAUCAAGUUUUGAAUUAAAAUUUUUAAUACAUACUUCGAAAGAGACACUCAGUGAAUUUUUUAGUUUGUAGAAUUUUAACAUGCACUUGUAUUGCAAAGGAUCAAGAAUCAAUAGCUGCGUUCAAAAAUAUAGUUUAGUCUGGUUUAGUCCGCAAAAGAAUGAUCUUUUCUCCCAUUACUUGGCUGUGAAGUGCAUGCGCAUAAAUGCCGAUUGUAGAAAAAUGGUGGUGAAGACCAUUUCCGUUUUUGAUGACAAUUUGAAUACAACUUCCUAUACAAUUUGACGUAAAUUUACUACCAGAACUAUCCUGCAAAUUCACUUUAAAAGUUGUAGAAAAAUUGUUAUCAAAAACGGAAAAGCCUGAAGUUGACGGACAUUUGGCAAAAAAUUCAAGAAAAUUUUUAUUAGGGUUUUUUUUCUAGUAAAAAAAGUUAUCUUUCAAUUGAAGAAAAAUUAACCGCAAAUUUUUCUUUCCAAAUUUUGCUGUAAAAUUGUCGACAAAUUCAGUAGAAAACCAGGACUUCUCACCGUCUAAGGAAAUCUAUAAAAAGUUAGUCUACGGAGAAGCGGAAAUUUCGAUUUAUCGAAUGCCACUUCUCUUUGGAAGUAAACUAUACCCAUGUGCUCUUACAUCUGAAUAUAUGAUGCAUAUAUAAAUAUAUACAGACACAUAGAAAACGUAUAGAAUCGGGUGGGAGACAGCGAAACUCGUAAUGGGGAUCAAGAUUGAAGGGAAGUUCCGUGUUAAUGGAAUUCGACUGUAAAUCAUAAAAUAAUUAAAUAUUUCGCGUUUUAUAUAAAUGAAUAUAGAAAAGGAACUAAAACGGAAAAAGACAAACUGACUUAUAGAUUGUCUUAAAGAGAGAAAAAAUAUAUUUUUUAUCAGAUGUCGAAUAAAAAAUUUACU